UACGGAGGGGGCUAGCGUUGUUCGGAAUUACUGGGCGUAAAGCGCACGUAGGCGGAUCAGUCAGUUAGAGGCGAAAGCCCAGGGCUCAACCCUGGAACUGCCUUUAAUACUGCUGGUCUGGAGUCCGAGAGAGGUGAGUGGAAUUCCGAGUGUAGAGGUGAAAUUCGUAGAUAUUCGGAGGAACACCAGUGGCGAAGGCGGCUCACUGGCUCGGUACUGACGCUGAGGUGCGAAAGCGUGGGGAGCAAACAGG
rnacentral:rRNA from 1 species